rnacentral:ncRNA from 2 species
GCUACGAUCGUGGGUAUUUUAGAUCAUCGACAGACCAAGGCACUUUCGUCACUGGCAUUGUAAGGCCGAGCAGAUGCGGCCUCAACCCAAACCCUCACCCGUGGUUCGCAUCUGCUCCCGUCCAGUGCCCUGUCCAACCAUACUGUCAGAUCUACUUCAUACCCAUGAAUGGUGGCG